GGUUUUCAGAUUCUCCAUUUAAAAUGUUAAUAAGAGUAACAGGAGCAUUUUUUAGGCUAAAAUUACAUAUCUGUAAACGAAUAACUUUCUUAUAACAUCUUCAUUUGAAUAAUAGUGUAAUAAAAUAAAUUAUAUGUUCCCUCAUAAGGGAAACAAAUUUUACCAUUUGAUCCAGUAGAUUAUAAUAGCUAUCAAUUUGUCCCUCAGCUUGGACUAACAUAUUUUUCUAUAAAAAAGGAUUUGUAUUACUGUAAAUUCAGAAAUUAUUGCGAUGUUUUUAUUAUUGCAAAAAAUGUGACAGGGCUAUAAUCGCAAUAAUUUAAACUGGCAUUUUGAAAUUUUUUAUAUGAAUUAAACAGGAUUUUUUUUUCAUGUUGCAAAAAUUUAAAAUCGCAUUAUACUCUAAAAUGAUUAAAUCGCAAUAAUAAAUGCACGCAAUAAUUUCUGAAUUUACAGUACAUAUAUAUUGAUAAACAUGUAGACCCUGAAAGAAAGAAGGCACUAAAUCAACAAUCAUAUAAAAAAUAAAAUCUUGUGAAAAUACAAUUUGACAAUCAUCAGUGUUGUCCCUAUAGUCUUUAAUGUGAUGCUGAAUACAUGAUUUCAUGGUUUUGUUAGCAUACAAGCUUAUAGGAAUUUUUUAUCCUGUGAAAAUUCAUUUCGUGGUUAACCUUUAGGAUAUAACUGCAUUGUAUUUUAAGCUCCGACGGCAUCAAUUGGGGAUUUGAUGGUCACAAAUUAAGUUUACUGGCAACGCGUUAGCGGAGACAGCAAACGGGUAUUUGCAACCAUCAAAUCCCAAAUUGAUGCCGUCGGAGCUUGAAAUACAAUAUUGUUAUCUCCAUUCUAAUGAAACUGACAGAAAACAACAUUAAAACAUUCAAAAUCUGUCAUAUGCCGUCUGCGCUUGUGUGUACGUCCCAUAGCAUCAAUUGUCAAUUGAUGCCAUGUAAGAAUUUGACGUUAUCCAAUCAAAAUGAACGUUACAAACAUUGUUGCAUUAGAAUUACCAAUGAAUGCAUGAAAAUUGGUACUCCAUGAUUAAUAAUGAAUCUACAGUAUAUUUGUUGGUUGGGGGCACUGAUAGUUAACUCAUUACUGAUUAGGAUAAUAGUAAAUGUGCAUGCAUCCCUUUACCAGAAAUACUUUAUGCAAAUGAAGGAAUGUAUGUUCAUAUACAAUAAUAUAACAUCUGAUAUGCAAGAGAAAGGAAAUCAUAUGUGUUAUGAAUUCUUGUGCAAAUAUAUGAAUUAUUAUUUUAACAGAUAUGGAAUUAAGUAGAGUCUACUAUUAAA
rnacentral:lncRNA from 1 species